rnacentral:rRNA from 1 species
UGGGGAAUUUUGCACAAUGGGGGAAACCCUGAUGCAGCGACGCCGCGUGAUUUAGAAGGCCUUCGGGUUGUAAAAAUCUUUUUUACGGGAUGAAAAUGACAGUACCGUAAGAAUAAGGUCCGGCUAAAUACGUGCCAGCAGCCGCGGUAAUACGUAUGGACCGAGCGUUGUCCGGAAUCAUUGGGCGUAAAGGGUACGUAGGCGGCCUAGUAAGUUAGAAGUGAAAUAAUAUAGCUCAACUAUAUAAAGCUUUUAAAACUGCUAGGCUUGAGAGAUGGAAGGGAAAGUGGAAUUCCUAGUGUAGCGGUGAAAUGCGCAGAUAUUAGGAAGAAUACCGGUGGCGAAGGCGACUUUCUGGUCAUCAUCUGACGCUGAGGUACGAAAGCGUGGGUAGCAAACAGGA